GAAAAUAAUUGCGGAGCGAAAAUAAUGUGAAUUAAAUUGGUCCGUCGUGCGGUAGUAGUAAUGGUAACGCUGCUAGGCCACGCGGAAUCUUAAACAGCCGUUGCCCAUUACCCGUUACCCACCCGUUGUGUAUUCCAUUAAUGCCGCACGCGCGCUCUGUCUCUCUUACUCUCUCGCCGUUGUAGACUUGAGAGUUUUGUGCGUUCGGCUGUUGGUCCAGCAGCUCAAACAAACGUCGGCUUUUUAAGCAUCCUCGGCUGCUGCUGCUGACUGCUGCUGUCGCAGUAAAUAGAAUCCGAAACUGGAAACAGAAACAGAAACGAAGCCAGCGCCAAUGCACGCACGGGGCUACAACACAGCAGCAGCAGCAGCAGCGGCGCAUCGGCUAACGGCAAACGGUAAAAACGGGCUGCUGUGUCUUGGUUCUUUCAUCGCUCAGUUUAGUUACGCGCAAGAUUUCAACACAAAUUGUUGUAGCAUACUUUACGGUUGCGGACGGCGCUAGAGCCUAUGAAAAUGUGAAGCUACAUAACAACAACAACAACAACAACAACAACAAGAGAAGCAGCAGCGAAAUCAAAACACCAACAACAACAAUGACAUAAAUAAUAAUGUUAAUAUAUAAACAGAUCAUAAUAAUAACAAGAAAACAAUAUUAAUAAGAGUCAAAACGCACAACUCGCAUCAAAGAAUAUCUACGGAAAGCUCUUCAAAAUAUUCGACGAAAAAGCAAACACCAAAAAAAAACCAAAAAAAAAGAAAAACGAAACGAAACGCACAAAACUAAGUUUAACAACGCAUUAUCCUAGGUGUCUUACAACAAUACGCACAACCCCAAAACGCCAAAAUUGAAAAGUUUAAGGAGUAGUUAAAAUACAAAAUAUAUAAAAAAAUUAGUAAUACUUAGCGCAAGUAGCAAUUUAAAACAAUUUAGAUAAAUUCAUGAAAAAAACAUGAGCGAUGCAAACAAAUUGAAAGUGGAAAAAUGUUAACAACAAUUGAGGGAGACAAAGAAUUCGAAGCGAUAGCGAGUUGAUUGUGUCUGCCACCUCAAUAGGUCUCAGGACAGGAGAAUCGAGGCAAGCGAGACACGCGAGGGGAAAGUCGCCGCGCUGCGCAAUGCAAGCGAACAGCAGCCGAUCCACGUUAAGCGCACAAUCCUCGGGGCACACCGUCGGCCUCAACGAUAUCCUCGUCGCAGGGAAAGCAACAAGUUGUCGAACUAUCUGGAUAUGUCAUCAUACUCGUUGAGAAUGCGGAGGGCAAGAUUAAAUUAUAUGGCUCGCCGUCCGAUCGCGAUA